CGGCCACUGCCUGUGGGCACGGGCGGGAGCCCCACGGAGGCGCUGGCUGCGCAGUCCGGGUGGACUGAGGGCCACCGAGCCUUCCCGGGUUCGGGUGUGAAGUUCCGGUGAGGGAGAAGAAUGUUCCGGAAGCCGCUCCUGGGGCCCAGCGGCUGAAAGAGCAGCACGGCGGUGAGCUCCGCUCUCACCAGCACAGCGCUGUUGGGUGGCGCUGGGUCCGUCCACGAGCCCGAUUUACUCCUGCCGCGAUUUCGAGGUCUGAUGUGGACGUCUUGAUUCACGUCUGCGCUGCUCAUCUUGGGCUUGCGGGUCAUUCUCCUGUCCACCCCCAUACUGUGAACGCUUCCAUGUGGUGAGGGUGUCAGCGCUCUGCUGGCCACGUGGAGACUGCAACUGUCCGCGCCCCCGCCGAGCCGUGGCACCUGCUCUGUCCACCUUGGACAGCAGACGGAAUAGGCGUUUCUCCAGAGACGGACAGAUGACUGAAGAGCGUCCGGAAAAGGUUUUCCGCAUCACGCAGUCACAAAGAAAUGCAAACCAUAAAGCAGAAUGGUUUCAUUCUGCUCACACACACUCCAGUGGCUACCACAGAAGAAAACAGGAAAUAAAGGUUGGAGCAGAAGUGGGCAGCCGGAGCACCUGCCCACGAUUUAUGCAAAAGGACGCAAGAGGGGGUCGUGCUGUGGAAAUUAGCAUGGCAGUUCCUCAAAAGACUGAACACAGAAUUACCACAUGACCCAGCACCCCGCCUUGGGGUACCCCAAAGAAAGUAUGAUCUAAAAGAGGUAUUGUGUAGCCAACUGUCGGCAAUUCACAAUAUCGAAAAAGAUCAAAGCAAGCCAAGUGUCCAAGGGUAAGCAAAUGGAUAAGCAAAGUAUGCUGCACAUGACAGUGAAUAUUCAUCAGCCUCCAGAAGGAGAUCCUGUCACCUGCUGCUUCGGGUGAACUUGGAGGACUUCACACUCUAGGAAAUAAGCCAGACCCCAAAAAGCAAACGCAGUGUGAUUCCACUUCCCGGAUGUCCCGAGUGGCCAAAGUCACCCAAAGGGAGAGUAGGCGAUGGCUGCGGGCGGAGGACGAGAGGGAAACCGGGAGGGAGUCUCCUCACCCAGCAGAGUGCAGACGCAGCUGGGUCUUGUGAGCCCCGAAAGCCAGCACUGGCUCGCCAAGGGACCCCGUCUUCUGCAGGGGCGUGGUUAGAGAGGACGGGCCAGGAGGGAGCACUCCCAGAGGUCGGG
rnacentral:lncRNA from 1 species